rnacentral:rRNA from 1 species
GACGAACGCUGGCGGCGUGCUUAACACAUGCAAGUCGAACGGAAAGGCCCCUUUGGGGGUACUCGAGUGGCGAACGGGAGAGUAAAACGUGAGUAACCUGCCCUUGACUUCUGGAUAACAUCAGGAAACUGGGGCUAAUACCGGAUAGGAAUCCUUGCUGCAUGGUGGGGGUUGGAAAGCUUCGGCGGUUUUGGAUGGACUCGCGGCUUAUCAGCUUGUUGGUGGGGUAGUGGCUUACCAAGGCUUUGACGGGUAGCCGGCCGGAGAGGGCGACCGGCCACAUUGGGACUGAGAUAGGGCGCAGACUGCUACGGGAGGCAGCAGUGGGGAAUAUUGCGCAAUGGGCGGAGGCCUGAUGCAGCAACGCCGCGUGUGGGAUGACGGCCUUCGGGUUGUAAGCCGCUUUCAGCAGGGGCGAGGCGUGUGGUGACGGUACCUGCAGAAGAAGCACCGGCUAACUACGUG